rnacentral:rRNA from 1 species
UACGAAGGGGGCUAGCGUUGCUCGGAAUCACUGGGCGUAAAGGGUGCGUAGGCGGGUCUUUAAGUCAGGGGUGAAAUCCUGGAGCUCAACUCCAGAACUGCCUUUGAUACUGAGGAUCUUGAGUUCGGGAGAGGUGAGUGGAACUGCGAGUGUAGAGGUGAAAUUCGUAGAUAUUCGCAAGAACACCAGUGGCGAAGGCGGCAUCCUGGACCGACACUGACACUGAGGAGCGAAAGCCAGGGGAGCAAACGGG